CCUACGGGGUGCAGCAGUAGGGAAUCUUUCACAAUGGGCGAAAGCCUGAUGGAGCAACGCCGCGUGCAGGAUGAAGGCCUUCGGGUUGUAAACUGCUUUUAUAAGCGAGAAAUAUGAUGGUAACUUAUGAAUAAGGCUCGGCUAACUACGUGCCAGCAGCCGCGGUCAUACGUAGGAUCCGAGCAUUAUCCGGAGUGACUGGGUGUAAAGAGUUGCGUAGGUGGCAUAAUAAGUAGCUAGUGAAAUCUGGUGGCUCAACCAUUCAGACUAUUAGCUAAACUGUUAAGCUCGAGACCGUUAGGGGUAACUGGAAUUUCUAGUGUAGGAGUGAAAUCCGUAGAUAUUAGAAGGAACACCAAUAGCGUAGGCAGGUUGCUGGGACGGGUCUGACACUAAGGCACGAAAGCGUAGGGAGCAAACGGGAUUAGAUACCCCAGUAGUC
rnacentral:rRNA from 1 species